GCUUAGAAGCAGCCACACAUUCAAAGAGUGCGUAAUAGCUCACUGGUCGAGUGAUUGUGCGCCGAAGAUGUCCGGGGCUAAAACACACCACCGAAGCUUCGGGUUGCAAGAGAUUGCAGCGGUAGAGGAGCAUAGUGCAUUGGCAGAAGCCAGACCGGAAGGACUGGUGGACGAUGCAGUAGAGAGAAUGCCGGUAUGAGUAACGAGAUGUGUGCGAGAAACACACACGUCGAAAGCCCAAGGUUUCCUGGGGAAGGUUCAUCCGCCCAGGGUAAGUCGGGGCCUAAGCCGAGGACGAUAGUCGUAGGCGAUGGAUAACUGGUGGAGAUUCCAGUACCACCUUUAUGAGCGAAGCACUGACACAGAAGGAUAGCGUGAGCAGGUUGAUGGUAGAGCCUGUCUAAGCGGUUAGGCGAUUCGGCAGUGAAGUACGCCGAUGGUAGUUGAGCCGUGAUGGGGAGCGAAAAUAAAGUAGCGAAGCACGUGAAUCCCCGCUGGCAAGAAAAGGUGCUAGUAAUAUUGUAAGGGUGCCCGUACCGCAAACCGACGCAGGUGGGCGAGGAGAGAAUCCUAAGACGAACGGGAGAACCCUUGUUAAGGAACUCGGCAAAAUGACCUCGUAACUUCGGGAGAAGAGGUGCCUCGAAAGAGGCCGCAGAGAAAAGGCCCAAGCGACUGUUUAGCAAAAACACAGGUGUUUGCGAAAGCGAGAGCUGACGUAUAAGCGCUGACGCCUGCCCGGUGCUGGAAGGUUAAGAGGAGCUGUCAGGCAACGAAGCAGCGAAUUGAAGCCCCAGUAAACGGCGGCCGUAACUAUAACGGUCCUAAGGUAGCGAAAUUCCUUGUCGGGUAAGUUCCGACCCGCACGAAUGGCGUAACGACUUGGGCGCUGUCUCAACAGGGGACCCGGUGAAAUUGAAGUAUGGGUGAAGAUGCCCAUUACCCGCGACUGGACGGAAAGACCCCGUAGAGCUUUACUGUAGCUUAUCAUUGAGAUUUGGUAACGGAUGUACAGAAUAGGUGGGACUCUGAGAAACAGGGACGUCAGUUUCUGCGGAGAGGCCGUUGGGAUACCACUCUUCUGUUACUGAAUUUCUAACAACAUGCAGUUAACCUGGUGAUGGACAGUGAUAGGUGGGCAGUUUGACUGGGGCGGUCGCCUCCCAAAGAGUAACGGAGGCGCCCAAAGGUUCCCUCAGAAUGGAUGGAAAUCAUUCGAAGAGUGCAAAGGCAGAAGGGAGCCUGACUGCGAGACAGACACGUCGGGCAGAUACGAAAGUAGGGCUUAGUGAUCAGGCGGUAUCGAGUGGAAGAGCCGUCGCUCAACGGAUAAAAGCUACCUCGGGGAUAACAGGCUGAUCUCCCCCAAGAGU
rnacentral:rRNA from 1 species